AAAAAAAAUAAUAAAAAAAAGCGUAACCAACGUCACACAGGCUUUGGUUUGAAUUACAAAACUUUAUUAGCUAGGGCCAACUAAGCAGUGUUUCGGGUGACAUUGCCAACCUCAGAUAAUGUGUUCUCCUUUGAGCUGUAAAACCCGGCAGGCAGCAGCAAACGGAGAGACCUACCCAGCCCGGAAAAAAACAAAACAAAGAGAGACCUUACUGGUGCUGUUUACACAUCUGUGUGGAGGACUAUCUGGGCUUGUGUGUUUUGACAUCGCGCUCAAAUGGCUGCACGGCUCCUGUCUCAGUGAAACGGAAGAUGUAGAGGAGCUGGAUGCUGGAGAGUGAGUGGAGGAGUGAAGCUGAGCCCUGGACGGAGGGAUCUGCUGGAGGAAAGCAGAGAGAGAGAGGACGCCGUCUCUUAAAGCCGCUGCCACCGGUGUCCUUGCCAGCCGCCAUCAAUCGCCCGGCGAUGGGCGGAACAGAGGAAGAGAGGGGCGAUAAAUGAAGUGAAAACUUUUAGAGGUAUGCAGUGUCGGCAGCCGGCCGGGGCGAUGGGGAAGAGUUUCCCGGCCUUCUGUAAUGGGAGCGAGAGAGAGUGCGAGGGGAGAGAGUGCGAGGGGAGAGCGGGCGCUGAUAGAUAUUGAUAGAGAUUUUAAUGAAUGUUCAGGAGAGAUGGCACCUAAAGCGCUCCUCUGGUAAUGCAGUGUGACAGUGUAUUUGUACUAAUAACCCCUAAAAGUGGUGAUAAAAUACUGUGGGCUCCUACUGGAACUGUGAUGGAUGUGGUGUGAGUAAUUAAACUCCAUUAGGAUGGGACUUCACUUACCCAGGGACGUGUGUGUGUGUGUGUGUGUGUCAGGGCAGUGCCGGACAGUCAGGCGGCCGGGAGGUAGAGGAAUGCAUGAAAGCAGCAUUAUCCCCAGCCAGUCCAUCCUAGGGAAAAGGGCACGUGUGUGUGUGUGAAGGACUCAUGAGUGCAAGCGUCUCUAUGACCUCUAAGAUAUUUGGCUCUUUUGUACUCCCAUGUUUCAUUGCUGAUCCCAAAAGAGUGUGUUUACGUGUGUGUGCGUGUGUUAGUGUCAGUUUGUACAGUUUACAUGACAGGUUGCAGCCGAGGCAACGUCACACAUACUGUAAGUGUUUUUGUGUUGACAGGAAAGCAUACUUCAGUCUGUUUUCACCGUGCUCAAUGUCCCCCUGCAGGACCACUGUGGUGUUUAGAUGCCAGGAGAGAAGCCCCAGGCUAUACUACCUACCUACCACAUUCACUGGGAAUACACUGGCCCCACACUACACCACCGUGUUCUACUACUCUCUCCUCUUCACCCUCUCUCUCACACACACACACACACCUUCUCAGACGCUGGUCCCAGCAGCAGUGCAUCCCCCUCCCCUGCUGUUUUAGUGAGCGUAGAUUCCAGAAGACAGGCAUCAUGGUUGGCACCCAGGCCUGGGAUCUGCCCUCUCUGAAAAUGGCUGCGGUAAUGACCCUCCUGGGAGCGCCCUGUUGGGCGGCUGAGCGGAUAUGUCCAGGUGCUGCAACAUAAGCAUUUCAUUAAAUAUUGAAGCCACCGUUUACAAGCUACUAGCAGAUCUAGUGGCAGAAAAAAAUGCCUUUUUGGCAUCGGUCCAAAAGCGACUAUGUAUGUGAAAUUUUUUCCGCUCUCUUUUUCCACACUCUCUCUCUCUAAUCACACUCUGCUUUUACUUGACCUUUCGUCUUCUAAUUAGUUGCCUUGUUGAAAAGCAUUGUGGGUAAUAUAUCUUGGGCGAUGCAGUUCUCAUCUCCCUGUGUGUGCUGCCGAUGGUGAUGGCUCGCAAAUGUGCUGAUUAUUUAUUCAGGGGAGCCAUUUUCCUCUGAUCCCAAAAUACACAAACCAUAAAACACUGGCCCACUAUGACCCCACUACUCAAAACAGGGGAAAAGGAGAGAGUUCUGUGUGGUUUGGGACACAUUGACAUUGCUUAUGUGCUUGUACACAUCUACAAGGAGAGACUUAUGUGAUCUCUCUAUUCCUGUUAUGAAAUGUACUGUUCUGGUGCAUGCACAUGAAUCUAUGCAUUUAAUUGGUGGUGUUGCUUUUAUUAAUGCAAUGUAAGAAUAAUUGUAUUAAAACGAUAAAUGUUAAUCUAAAGUAAAUGUAUUUUUACUCAACUUAGAGUGAGUCAUGAGUGUGUGAAUGAGGGAGGCUGGACAAAUAAUAAGGGAAAGGGAGAUACCUAGUCAGUUGUACAACUGAAUGCCUUCAACUGAAAUGUGUCUUCCGCAUUUAACCCAACCCCUCUGAAUCAGAGAGGUGCGAGGAGCGGCCUUAAUCAACAUCCACGGCGCCCAGGGAACAGUGGGUUAACUGCCUUGCUCAGGGGAUUCGAUCCAGCAACCUGUCGGUUACUGGCCCAACGCUCUAACCACUAGGCUACCUGCUAGUCUCAGAUGUCAGAUCUUAAUAUGACCCAUUUCGUCGCAGGAGGAAAAUAGUCCUGCAGCAGGAGGAUUUGAAUGAAUAUUGAAUAUUUAAAAUGGCUGUCAGGAGGCAGCUGGAAGCGAUGUUUGUUUGUAGGCUAUACAAUGCAGUACCGUACCUAGGGGGCUAUAGUUUGGGGAAGGCUCUGCCAACCAACUGACCUCAUACCAUCAAGUAUCAUCAAGUAUUCUCACAGCUUGCUAGAGCAUUGUAAACUGACAUAGUGCAGUGAUCUGGGCAGCACACUUUGGCUCUGAGCAUCAAGAGUUCGCGCCCUGUGCUGGGCAAUCGCUUUGACACUUUGUAUGAAUUGAAACUAACGUUGGUAUAGCCUACUGUUAUUAUUUAACCAAUCCAAAGGCUGCUGCCUACCUACCUCCAGGCACCUACCUUAGAAGUAGAACUUUUCCAGUUAGGUUACUUCCAUUUGGAUUCGAAGGCAGCAUCACAUGAUAACACAUUCAAAUCAAACUCUAUUGAUGACAUAUGCAUAUUUUGCAGGUGUUCACAGGUGCAGUGAAAUGCUUAUGUUCCUAGCUCCAACAGAUCAGUAAUGCUUAGCAAUACAAAACAAUACACACAAAUCCCCAAAAUAAAAAGAAAGGAAUUAAGAAAUAUCAGAACAAGUAAUGUCAGAAUCCGGAAUAUAACUAUAUACAAUACCUUUAUGAUGGUGUGUAUAGACGGUAUGGACAGGAUAUGAAUAGAAAAGGUGUGUACAGCAGUAGUUCUAUAGAAGACAUAUACAUAGGAAAUGGGUAAAGCAGUAUGUAAACAUUAUUAAAGUGACCGGUGUUCAAUGACUUUUGUACAUAGGGCAGCAGUCUUUAAGGUCCAGGGUAGAGUACCGGGUGAUGCCAGCUAGUAACAGCAGAACAAAACGUACAAGAUCUUCCAAGCCUGUGAUUACCACAGACCUUAUUUUCAGUAUUUAUUCCAAAGCCCUAUUCUCUCCACAUUCAUUUUUCCAAUAAGGAUGGCUGCAUGAACCAGAGGUAACAUAUUUCCGGGUUUUAGGACUACAAGCUGGUGAGCUCUAUUUUGGUCGAUUACCAACAAAAUAAUUAUUGCAUCGCCGUUUAUCCAAAAACGCCAUUCAUUUUCCUCAUAGGCUUUGUCCGACGAACCAUGGUGGAGUUAGUGCCUACAAAAAGACACCAUUACUAUUGCUCUCUAUAGUUAGCUAUGCUUGCCUGUUCAGCAGAUUGUCUGCCUGUAUACAGUGCUGACUCCUACCACCAGAACGACUGAAUGAAUACCCAGCGUGGUCAGUCAAGUAAACAGUGUCUCAUUUGCGUGACAUAUUGGUGGACUAUGGGCCAUCAAGUCAUAGUGACGUUAGCAUGACACAUUACACUGGUUAUAGCACAACCCCUUGACUUUUUCCACAUUUUGUUAUGUUACAGCCUUAUUCUUAAAUAGACCAAAUAAAAUAA